UACGUAGGGGGCAAGCGUUGUCCGGAUUUAUUGGGCGUAAAGAGCGUGUAGGCGGCCUGAAAGGUCAGCUGUGAAAACUCGAGGUUCAACCUCGAGACGUCGGUUGAAACCAUCUGGCUAGAGUCCGGAAGAGGAGAGUGGAAUUCCCGGUGUAGCGGUGAAAUGCGCAGAUAUCGGGAAGAACACCCGUGGCGAAGGCGGCUCUCUGGGACGGUACUGACGCUGAGACGCGAAAGCGUGGGGAGCGAACAGG
rnacentral:rRNA from 1 species